UACGGAGGGUGCAAGCGUUAUCCGGAUUUACUGGGGUUAAAGGGUGCGUAGGCGGGUAGGUAAGUCAGUGGUGAAAUCUUCGAGCUUAACUCGGAAAUUGCCGUUGAUACUAUUUAUCUUGAAUAUCGUUGAGGUUUGCGGAAUAUGUCAUGUAGCGGUGAAAUGCUUAGAGAUGACAUAGAACACCUAUUGCGAAGGCAGCAGGCUAAACGAACAUUGACGCUGAGGCACGAGAGCGUGGGGAUCAAACAGG
rnacentral:rRNA from 1 species